GGUGGGGAUGACGUCAAGUCCUCAUGGCCUUUAUGCUUAGGGCUACACACGUGCUACAAUGGGUGGUACAAAGAGAAGCCAACUCGCGAGAGCGCGCCAAUCUCAAAAAGCCAUCCUCAGUUCGGAUUGGAGUCUGCAACUCGACUCCAUGAAGUUGGAAUCGCUAGUAAUCGCGGAUCAGCAUGCCGCGGUGAAUACGUUCCCGGGCCUU
rnacentral:rRNA from 1 species